AGGGAUGUGGCUCAGUGAGAGAGUGCUUGCCUAACAUGCAUGAAGCCCUGGGUUCCAUCCCCAGUACCACCA
rnacentral:tRNA from 1 species